CUGACCUCGGUUCAGAG
rnacentral:rRNA from 1 species